ACUGCUCAGUAACACGUGGUUAACCUGCCCUAAGGUGGAGCAUACUCCCGGGAAACUGGGGCUAAUACUCCAUAGUGGAUGCAUCCUGGAAUGGUGCAUCCUCGAAAGAUCCGUCGCCUUAGGAUGGGACUGCGUCCGAUUAGGUUGUUGGCGGGGUAACGGCCCACCAAGCCAUUGAUCGGUACGGGUUGUGGGAGCAAGAUCCCGGAGAUGGAUUCUGAGACAUGAAUCCAGGCCCUACGGGGCGCAGCAGGCGCGAAAACUUUACAAUGCGGGUAACCGUGAUAAGGGAACCUCGAGUGCCUGUAUAUGCAGGCUGUCCAGGUGUCUAAGACACACCUGAAGAAAGGGCCGGGCAAGACCGGUGCCAGCCGCCGCGGUAAUACCGGCGGCUCGAGUGGUGGCCACUUUUAUUGGGCUUAAAGCGUUCGUAGCUGGGUUGUUAAGUCUCUUGGGAAAUCUGGCAGCUUAACUGUCAGGCGUCUAAGGGAUACUGGCAAUCUUGGGACCGGGAGAGGUGAGGGGUACUUCGGGGGUAGGAGUGAAAUCCUGUAAUCCUCGAGGGACCACCUGUGGCGAAGGCGCCUCACCAGAACGGCUUCGACAGUGAGGGACGAAAGCUGGGGGAGCAAACCGGAUUAGAUACCCGGGUAGUCCCAGCCGUAAACGAUGUGCGUUAGGUGUAUCGACGACCACGAGUCGUCGAGGUGCCGAACGGAAACCGUGAAACGUACCGCCUGGGAAGUACGGUCGCAAGGCUGAAACUUAAAGGAAUUGGCGGGGGAGCAC
rnacentral:rRNA from 1 species